AUGAACGCUGGCCGCGUGCCUAAUACCUGCAAGUCGAGCGAACAGACGAGGAGCUUGCUCCUCUGACGUUAGCGGCGGACGGGUGAGUAACACGUGGAUAACCUACCUAUAAGACUGGGAUAACUUCGGGAAACCGGAGCUAAUACCGGAUAAUAUAUUGAACCGCAUGUUUCAAUAGUGAAAGACGGUUUUGCUGUCACUUAUAGAUGGAUCCGCGCCGCAUUAGCUAGUUGGUAAGGUAACGGCUUACCAAGGCAACGAUGCGUAGCCGACCUGAGAGGGGGAUCGGCCACACUGGAACUGAGACACGGUCCAGACUCCUACGGGGGGCAACAGUAGGGAAUCUUCCGCAAUGGGCGAAAGCCUGACGGAGCAACGCCGCGUGAGUGAUGAAGGUCUUCGGAUCGUAAAACUCUGUUAUUAGGGAAGAACAAAUGUGUAAGUAACUAUGCACGUCUUGACGGUACCUAAUCAGAAAGCCACGGCUAACUACGUG
rnacentral:rRNA from 1 species